rnacentral:rRNA from 1 species
CCGACGGUGAGGGGUGAAAGCUGGGGGAGCAAACCGGAUUAGAUACCCGGGUAGUCCCAGCUGUAAACGAUGCGCGUUAGGUGUGUCAGUGACCACGUGUCACUGAUGUGCCGAAGGGAAACCGUGAAACGCGCCGCCUGGGGAGUACGGUCGCAAGGCUGAAACUUAAAGGAAUUGGCGGGGGAGCACCACAACGGGUGGAGCCUGCUGUUUAAUCGGACUCAACGCCGGAAAUCUCACCGGAUAA